GGGGAAUCUUGCGCAAUGGGCGAAAGCCUGACGCAGCCAUGCCGCGUGAAUGAUGAAGGUCUUAGGAUUGUAAAAUUCUUUCACCGGGGACGAUAAUGACGGUACCCGGAGAAGAAGCCCCGGCUAACUUCGUGCCAGCAGCCGCGGUAAUACGAAGGGGGCUAGCGUUGCUCGGAAUUACUGGGCGUAAAGGGAGCGUAGGCGGACAUUUAAGUCAGGGGUGAAAUCCCGGGGCUCAACCUCGGAAUUGCCUUUGAUACUGGGUGUCUUGAGUAUGAGAGAGGUGUGUGGAACUCCGAGUGUAGAGGUGAAAUUCGUAGAUAUUCGGAAGAACACCAGUGGCGAAGGCGACACACUGGCUCAUUACUGACGCUGAGGCUCGAAAGCGUGGGGAGCAAAC
rnacentral:rRNA from 1 species